GUCGGGAAUUUUGCUCAAUGGGGGAAACCCUGAAGCAGCAACGCCGCGUGAGGGAUGAAGGCCUUCGGGUUGUAAACCUCUUUUGUCAGGGACGAUGAUGACGGUACCUGGCGAAUAAGCCACGGCUAACUACGUGCCAGCAGCCGCGGUAAUACGUAGGUGGCAAGCGUUGUCCGGAUUUACUGGGCGUAAAGAGCGCGCAGGCGGUCGGAUAAGUCGAAUGUGAAAGCCCCUGGCUCAACCAGGGAGGGUCAUUCGAUACUGUUCGACUCGAAGGCAGGAGAGGGAAGCGGAAUUCCCGGUGUAGUGGUGAAAUGCGUAGAUAUCGGGAGGAACACCAGUGGCGAAGGCGGCUUUCUGGCCUGUUCUUGACGCUGAGGCGCGAAAGCUAGGGGAGCAAACGGGAUUAGAAACCCUUGUAGUCC
rnacentral:rRNA from 1 species